UUUCCGUAGGUGAACCUGCGGAAGGAUCAUUAAAGUUAUAGUCCCCCGGCCCCUCCGGGCUGGGGUCUUCUAUACCACCCUUUGUUUAUUACACCUUUGUUGCUUUGGCAGGCCUGCCCUCGGGCUGCCGGCUCCGGCCGGCUCGUGCCUGCCAGAGGACCUAAACUCUGUUUGUAUAUGAAGUCUGAGUACUAUAUAAUAGUUAAAACUUUCAACAACGGAUCUCUUGGUUCUG
rnacentral:misc_RNA from 1 species